UACGUAGGGUCCGAGCGUUGUUCGGAAUUACUGGGCGUAAAGGGCUCGUAGGUGGCCAACUAAGUCAGACGUGAAAUCCCUCAGCUUAACUGGGGAACUGCGUCUGAUACUGGAUGGCUUGAGUUUGGGAGAGGGACGCGGAAUUCCAGGUGUAGCGGUGAAAUGCGUAGAUAUCUGGAGGAACACCGGUGGCGAAGGCGACAUCCUGGACCAACACUGACGCUGAGGAGCGAAAGCCAGGGGAGCAAACGGG
rnacentral:rRNA from 1 species